rnacentral:rRNA from 1 species
CAGCCGCCGCGGGAAUACGAAGGGGGCUAGCGUUGCUCGGAAUUACUGGGCGUAAAGGGCGCGUAGGCGGACAGUUCAGUCGGGGGUGAAAGCCCGGGACUCAACCUCGGAAUUGCCUUCGAUACUGGCUGUCUUGAGUAUGAGAGAGGUGUGUGGAACUCCGAGUGUAGAGGUGAAAUUCGUAGAUAUUCGGAAGAACACCAAUGGCGAAGGCGACACACUGGCUCAUUACUGACGCUGAGGCGCGAAAGCGUGGGGAGCAAACAGGAUUAGAUACCCGUGUAGUCCCUGUCUCUUAUAC